CUCCUGCUCCUGGGAUGUGUGUCACAGGGAGGCAGAAGCAAACUUUUGGGGACACAAAAAAGGCAAUGACUUCUGAUGAUGUUUUUGAUGGCUCAGGGGUUUCCUCAUAAACACACAGAAACGUUAAACAGAGAGGAAGAAGAUGGAUUUUGGAAGGAUGUUUCUUGGAACUGGUCUGGGCUGCAGCCACCUCUGGGAGUGGUUCCGGUCACUGGCUGCUUCUUUGGCAUUUGGGAGAGAUUUGCUUUGUCUUGCCCUCAUGGAGCACAUGCACAGUAUUCCUGAGGCCCUGGAACAUGCACAUAUGGUGACACAUCCCUCUGUUCCAGCAAGAAGACAGGAAAAGUGGAACUUCACAGACAUGGAGGUCAUGCUUUGGAUUCAUUACCUUAUGGAGCAGCAGCAUCUUCUUUUCCCAUGUGAAGCCUACAGAAAGGAAGAAGGAGUUUCACUUAGAGUUCUUGCUGGAUCUGUCAGCUCCACAAGUUGUUCUG